CCAAGUUUUCAACAUUAUUUGCCUUUCUAAAAAGAAAAAAUGUUGGGUACAAACCUAAAAAGGCUAGUGUUUUUACCAAGGAUGAAAUGUUUAAAUUUUUAAUUGAAGCACCAGACGAAUUGUUUUUAAUCCAUAAGGUAGCAAUGAUAUUAGGAGUAGCGGGAGCAUGUCGCAGAGAAGAGUUAUAUAAAAUGACUAUUAAAGAUAUAGAAGAUCGUGAA